rnacentral:rRNA from 1 species
UACGUAGGGUGCGAGCGUUAAUCGGAAUUACUGGGCGUAAAGCGUGCGCAGGCGGUGAUGUAAGACAGAUGUGAAAUCCCCGGGCUCAACCUGGGAACUGCAUUUGUGACUGCAUCGCUGGAGUGCGGCAGAGGGGGGAUGGAAUUCCGCGUGUAGCAGUGAAAUGCGUAGAUAUGCGGAGGAACACCGAUGGCGAAGGCAAUCCCCUGGGCCUGCACUGACGCUCAUGCACGAAAGCGUGGGGAGCAAACAG